CUUAUGCGUUGUUGGGUAGGGGAGCGUUCUGUAAGCCUGCGAAGGUGUGCUGUGAGGCAUGCUGGAGGUAUCAGAAGUGCGAAUGCUGACAUAAGUAACGAUAAAGCGGGUGAAAAGCCCGCUCGCCGGAAGACCAAGGGUUCCUGUCCAACGUUAAUCGGGGCAGGGUGAGUCGACCCCUAAGGCGAGGCCGAAAGGCGUAGUCGAUGGGAAACAGGUUAAUAUUCCUGUACUUGGUGUUACUGCGAAGGGGGGACGGAGAAGGCUAUGUUGGCCGGGCGACGGUUGUCCCGGUUUAAGCGUGUAGGCUGGUUUUCCAGGCAAAUCCGGAAAACUAAGGCUGAGGCGUGAUGACGAGGCACUACGGUGCUGAAGCAACAAAUGCCCUGCUUCCAGGAAAAGCCUCUAAGCAUCAGGUAACAUCAAAUCGUACCCCAAACCGACACAGGUGGUCAGGUAGAGAAUACCAAGGCGCUUGAGAGAACUCGGGUGAAGGAACUAGGCAAAAUGGUGCCGUAACUUCGGGAGAAGGCACGCUGAUAUGUAGGUGAAGCGACUUGCUCGUGGAGCUGAAAUCAGUCGAAGAUACCAGCUGGCUGCAACUGUUUAUUAAAAACACAGCACUGUGCAAACACGAAAGUGGACGUAUACGGUGUGACGCCUGCCCGGUGCCGGAAGGUUAAUUGAUGGGGUCAGCGCAAGCGAAGCUCUUGAUCGAAGCCCCGGUAAACGGCGGCCGUAACUAUAACGGUCCUAAGGUAGCGAAAUUCCUUGUCGGGUAAGUUCCGACCUGCACGAAUGGCGUAAUGAUGGCCAGGCUGUCUCCACCCGAGACUCAGUGAAAUUGAACUCGCUGUGAAGAUGCAGUGUACCCGCGGCAAGACGGAAAGACCCCGUGAACCUUUACUAUAGCUUGACACUGAACAUUGAGCCUUGAUGUGUAGGAUAGGUGGGAGGCUUGGAAGUGUGGACGCCAGUCUGCAUGGAGCCGACCUUGAAAUACCACCCUUUAAUGUUUGAUGUUCUAACGUUGACCCGUAAUCCGGGUUGCGGACAGUGUCUGGUGGGUAGUUUGACUGGGGCGGUCUCCUCCUAAAGAGUAACGGAGGAGCACGAAGGUUGGCUAAUCCUGGUCGGACAUCAGGAGGUUAGUGCAAUGGCAUAAGCCAGCUUGACUGCGAGCGUGACGGCGCGAGCAGGUGCGAAAGCAGGUCAUAGUGAUCCGGUGGUUCUGAAUGGAAGGGCCAUCGCUCAACGGAUAAAAGGUACUCCGGGGAUAACAGGCUGAUACCGCCCAAGAGUUCAUAUCGACGGCGGUGUUUGGCACCUCGAUGUCGGCUCAUCACAUCCUGGGGCUGAAGUAGGUCCCAAGGGUAUGGCUGUUCGCCAUUUAAAGUGGUACGCGAGCUGGGUUUAGAACGUCGUGAGACAGUUCGGUCCCUAUCUGCCGUGGGCGCUGGAGAACUGAGGGGGGCUGCUCCUAGUACGAGAGGACCGGAGUGGACGCAUCACUGGUGUUCGGGUUGUCAUGCCAAUGGCACUGCCCGGUAGCUAAAUGCGGAAGAGAUAAGUGCUGAAAGCAUCUAAGCACGAAACUUGCCCCGAGAUGAGUUCUCCCUGACUCCUUGAGAGUCCUGAAGGAACGUUGAAGACGACGACGUUGAUAGGCCGGGUGUGUAAGCGCAGCGAUGCGUUGAGCUAACCGGUACUAAUGAACCGUGAG
rnacentral:rRNA from 1 species